rnacentral:rRNA from 1 species
GACGAACGCUGGCGGCGUGCUUAACACAUGCAAGUCGAACGGAAAGGCCCUGCUUUUGUGGGGUGCUCGAGUGGCGAACGGGCGAGUAACACGUGAGUAACCUGCCCUUGACUUUGGGAUAACUUCAGGAAACUGGGGCUAAUACCGGAUAGGAGCUCCUGCUGCAUGGUGGGGGUUGGAAAGUUUCGGCGGUUGGGGAUGGACUCGCGGCUUAUCAGCUUGUUGGUGGGGUAGUGGCUUACCAAGGCUUUGACGGGUAGCCGGCCUGAGAGGGUGACCGGCCACAUUGGGACUGAGAUACGGCCCAGACUCCUACGGGAGGCAGCAGUGGGGAAUAUUGCACAAUGGGCGGAAGCCUGAUGCAGCAACGCCGCAUGCGGGAUGACGGCCUUCGGGUUGUAAACCGCUUUCGCCUGUGACGAAGCGUGAGUGACGGUAAUGGGUAAAGAAGCACCGGCUAACUACGUG